UGUCCGGGCAACAUCAGCAGUGUUCCAAAAAAAAAACGACAAUUAUACUAACUUAAAAAAAAAUAUAUGAGAAAAAUUACAAUCAAAAACAGCUACACAGUUCCAAAUUUUAAACAAAGUGUGUCGGGUUAAGUAACAAGGUUGCUCGAAAAACGCGUGCUCUUGCUUUUUCUUGGCUGUUCGUUUGUGCUUGCUCCCGGUUUUCCCACUUUCCCCGGGAGGUAUGACGACCCCACAACGCGACAAAGAUUUAGAGACGAUCCGCAUGUGCUUGGAGAUCCACACAAUAAAAAACAAACUAAACCAUCGAUUUGAUGGCCAAAAUGCUGAAGAACUUCGAGUUGGCGGAAGGCCUCUUCCAAGGUUUAAGACGGCAACUCUUUAGUCCAAAAAACAAAGGAAGUCCAAGUCAACCGUAGAAAGGGAUCCCGUCUUUGGAAAACUCCUCAACUCGACAGUGGAGAUCAGGCCUAUUGGAUUGUGGAUAACACCCUGCGCUUGCACAUUUCCAUAAGCUUAGGCCUUAGUGGUACGCUACUUUAAGCGCCCAGGACUUCUUGGUCACUUUGAGGGCUAAGAAGCCCUUGGGCUCAGGGUGGCGUACAACUAAGGCUAGAGAUUGUGGAAAUAUCGCAGGCAUGUCCGAGGACAUGAUGGAUGUGGACGAGAUGUGCAAGAUCUAAAAGGCUUGGAGGACUGUUAAAUCCAUCAAAUCAAAAAUCAAGGACCGUUUAAUAAAAAUACAACAUAAUUAAGGACUAAAUAAAUUAGAGUGAAACUAUU